rnacentral:ncRNA from 1 species
AUAAAUGCUAAGAUUGAGGCUAGUAGUAUUUUUUAUUUUCAAGAGAGGACUUUUUUUGCUGUGAUAAGUUUAAAUAAAAAAUAUGAAAUUCACCUCAGGAGCAGAAUCCAAUCAAUUCCGGUAUUUUCCCGUUAAAGAAAUAGAGUGUAAAUUUUUAUUAAUUUGAAAAUUUAAACUAGGGUGGUACCGCGGAGCUUCGUCCCUUUU